UGAUCCUAGAAAAGAGGCUGCUCAGGAUGGGGAUGAUAGUUCAAUUGCUCCGGACCAACGCGUCUCCUCACGUGGUCAAGGCCUUCACAAACCCAAAGUGGAACGGCCAGGAAAACGACUGACAGCCGGCCACAUGAACCAGGCAGAGAUGCAGAAAGAGGCUCACCAAAGACCAGCCGACAUGCAAGAAAUAGCUUUCUGGCUCACAGGCACAUACGUCCAAACGCACAAACACACCAGGGCACGCAUACACAAACACACACCCACACACACACCGACAGAGAGAGGGAAAGAAACAGAGUGAGAGACAGCGAGAGAGGAGAGAAUGGGAGACACACACACAUACACAUACACACACCGUCACACGGCAGUGGCAUGGAAACACACCCUCCUCAGCCCGAAUGCCACCCCUGAGGCUGGGGGGUUCUGCUGUCGACGAGAAUGACCCUCGGGUGACAGAGCAGCCCAAGGGCACACAGGCAGGCCUGUCCUAGAGAUCACGGGGGCACGAAUUUGGGGAGACUCACCCGAACACCUUCUGGGCAGGCCUGAGGCUAGGCUGCUGUGGUGCUUCCUACGGACUCCGCCGGGGGUUUCUUCAUCCUGGUCGGCCCUU
rnacentral:lncRNA from 1 species